AUGGAAGCCAUUUUCAUCGCUAAAUUUGCAGCUAUUUCCCUCCUCUGGAAAUCAGGCAUCAAUCGCAAGUUGUCCCGGAUGUUUCCUAUUUCUGACAUCAACUGUUCCACAUCUUCAAACUCCUCUAACCUUGACCCUGACGGCAGCAGCUCUUCAUCAACUUUAUUCGGUUUCACCAUACUAUUUUCUACAUGGAGGUUUUCCUGUGAAGUGGAUCCGCCAGCAUCGGCAUGUGAAUGCGUUUCACUUGCAGAAACCCAUCUUUCUUCAAUAUUAUCCCAUGGAUCACCUGAGCCUGCUGAUAGCACUUCAUACUCCAAUUCAUAUUCAGAUUCUUCUUCUGACAACUCUGAGAGGAAAUAUAAGACCCAAUCAACAUGA